rnacentral:miRNA from 1 species
GAGGUCUUUCGAGUGAGAGUGA